rnacentral:rRNA from 1 species
UACGUAGGCAGCAAGCGUUGUUCGGAGUUACUGGGCGUAAAGGGUGCGUAGGCGGCCCUGUAAGUAUGGUGUGAAAUCUCCCGGCUUAACUGGGAGGGUGCGCUAUAGACUGCGGGGCUCGAGUGUGGGAGAGGGUGGCGGAAUUCCCGGUGUAGAGGUGAAAUUCGUAGAUAUCGGGAGGAACACCAGAGGCGAAGGCGGCCACCUGGACGGACACUGACGCUGAGACGCGAAAGCGUGGGGAGCAAACAGG